UGGGGAAUAUUGCACAAUGGGGGAAACCCUGAUGCAGCGACGCCGCGUGAGCGAAGAAGGUUUUCGAAUCGUAAAGCUCUGUCCUAUGAGAAGAUAAUGACGGUAUCAUAGGAGGAAGCCACGGCUAACUACGUGCCAGCAGCCGCGGUAAUACGUAGGUGGCAAGCGUUGUCCGGAAUUAUUGGGCGUAAAGCGCGCGCAGGCGGUCACUUAAGUCCAUCUUAGAAGUGCGGGGCUUAACCCCGUGAUGGGAUGGAAACUGGGAGACUGGAGUAUCGGAGAGGAAAGUGGAAUUCCUAGUGUAGCGGUGAAAUGCGUAGAUAUUAGGAAGAACACCGGUGGCGAAGGCGACUUUCUGGACGAAAACUGACGCUGAGGCGCGAAAGCGUGGGGAGCAAACAGG
rnacentral:rRNA from 1 species